GAAGGCUACUGGGGCUACAGAAGCCUGUGGGGGGGGGGGGGGGGGGGUUAGGGAGGCAUAUGGGACUAUACUAAGCUGUGGUAAGGUACUAGAGUAUAUGGGGCUAUAGGGGUGGAUAUAGGGGAUUUGGGGCAAUAGAAGGCGGUGAGGGGGUCACAGGGAAACACAGUGCUGUAGGGAACAUUGGGGGGGUUUGGGGAGGGGCUACAGGAAGCUGUGUGGGGGUAUAAGAUGGGCUAUAAAAAUAAAGUGGGGCUAGAUAGUCCAGACAUAGCUCAAUACAGGGACUUAAAGGUGUUAUAGAGGAGAUGAGAGAAUACUGGUGGGAUAUAGGGCUAUAGCAAGGAUGUGAAGAAAUAAGGGGGACAUGGGGCUACAGGGGGCUAGGGAGAGCUGUGGGGAGGGAUAUACAGGGCUGGGGGAGCAUAUAAAAGAAUAUGGAUCUAUAAAAGACUGUAAGGGGGAAAAAGGUAGGAAGAAAAGGAUAUAGGUCUACAGACAGCAGUGAAAAAGCUAUAGGUGUGAUAUGGCGAAACAAGUGCAAUAGGGGAUUGUGGAGGAGUAUAGGAGGGGUAUAGGGAGAUAUAAGGUUAUAAAGAGACGUAGGGGGGCUAUAAUGGGAGUGUGGGGGCUAGAGGGAAAUAAAGAGUAAUAUGGAAUACAGGAGGGGCUACAAGGGAAUGUGGGGAGACAAGAACAGGGUACAAGCCCAGAUAUAGAAAAGAUGAGUAGAAUGAAAAAAGCCAAAAGGAAGAUAAAAAAAUUCAGUGAGCUAAAAAAAAGAAACAAAAACAAAAUCAAAAAUUAAAACAAAAUUGGGAAAAAAGGAACAAAUGAAACUAUACAAAUGAAAAAGAGAAAAGAAUAAAAAAAAUCAAAUACAAAAAAAGUAAAGGGAAAAUAGUGAAACAAAGAAAAAAAGGAAUACAAACCAACAAGAAAUGGAUGACAACAAAAUACAGCAAGCAGUAGGAAAGCUAGGCAUAGCACAGCAAAAGAGAGCAAAGCAAAAGCGGCAAAGAAUGACAAAAAGCAACCUUGCAGGAAUGGAGGAAUCUGGCCAGAGCUGUGCCCCUGCUUGCCACAGGAGCUGCGCGGGAGGAGAAGAAUGUGGGCCAAAAGGAAUGGAGGAAUCUGGCCAGAGCUGUGCCCCUGCUUGCCACAGGAGCUGCGCGGGAGGAGAAGAAUGUGGGCCAAAAGGUGUUCCACUUUGGCUUUGUAUGACACAGUGGACGAGAGGGGACGGCGUUCAGUGGAACAAACGCUGCAGACCCUGGGGAGAAUCAAAGCAGGAGAGAGGAAACGUGCCCUUUGCAGCAGGGGCCGUUGUUGCUGGCAUUGCCCAUCGCAUCCACUGCUGCUGUGGUCCUUU
rnacentral:lncRNA from 7 species